CAACAUGUCCCUCAGACCAGGUCCCUAUAGAGGGGACCAGACUGGACCAGACCAACAUGUCCCUCAGACCAGGUCCCUAUAGAGGGGACCAGACUGGACCAGACCAACAUGUCCCUCAGACCAGGUCUCUAUAGAGGGGACCAGACUGGACCAGACCAACAUGUCCCUCAGACCUGGUCCCUAUAGAGGGGACGAGACUGGACCAGACUGGACCAGACCAACAUGUCCCUCUGACCAGGUCCCUAUAGAGGGGGACCAGACUGGACCAGACCAACAUGUCCCUCUGACCAGGUCUCUAUAGAGGGGGACCAGACUGGACCAGACCAACAUGUCCCUCUGACCAGGUCCCUAUAGAGCGGACCAGACUGGACCAGACCAACAUGUCCCUCUGACCAGGUCCCUAUAGAGCGGACCUGACUGGACCGGACCAGCAUGUCCCUCUGACCAGGUCCCUAUAGAGCGGACCAGACUGGACCAGACCAACAUGUUCCUCUGACCAGGUCCCUAUAGAGCGGACCAGACUGGACCAGACCAACAUGUUCCUCUGACCAGGUCCCUAUAGAGCGGACCAGACUGGACCGGACCAGCAUGUUCCUCUGAACAUGGAGGAUGUGUGUUUUUACAAGUCUGAUGGUAAUCUGUGAUAAAGAUGUCACAUGGAUCGAUCAAUCAAAAAGGACUACAGCAGUGUCAUAAUGACUGAUGCUUGGUUUACCAAUGACCACUGAUGGUGGUCCUGGCAAUGCUAAUCAGGUGUUCAAUGUUUGGGAUUCCACAUGGACCAGGAAGAAGAAAUGAACUGACUGAACACAGGCAGGAACAGCAUGCCCCAUUCCCUUUGGAUUAGGGAGAAUUCUGGGAAACGAUCAAUGAAAGACAUGGAAUCUGGAGCUUAGCUCUGUCAAAGUCAAUUUAUGAAUACUUGAUCCACAGUAUGUUACAAAUAAGAUACAUUUUGCACAUGAAUGUUACGA
ensembl:lncRNA